UUGGUACACAAUCAGGUUGUUAGCGCACGCUGGCCGAAGGUCAUGGCCGCCUUAUCACAAUCAACGGGAUAUAACAUUACUACGAACGACCCAGUCACUGGCGCUCCUGUGCUCAGAACACAGCUGCUGCAAGUUGUCGGUGGACGGAGCAUAGUGUGCAUGGUAGAGCCACAUACGCCCAAGCCUUGCUGCGAACCCUCACCGCUGGAAUGUAAUUUCUAUUGCGGUGCUAUCAAUCAAAGUCUGACAUCGAAGAUACGUGUUACGAUCCACACACGCAGCCCAACAUCGAGCACCAGUUUCUCAUCGACGAAGUUGCAGCGAUGGCUUUCUGUCCCGCCAUUCUCAUCGGUCUUACGUUCUUCUCGAGCCAUACAUCAGCUUUCUAUACUUCACUGAGAAACAUGGAUGCAGAUCCUGGUGAUAGAAUUGCGUGCAAAAUUUUUUGGCCGAUCGAUCACUGGCUGCUGGCUUCCGACAGGCCUGGAUACUUCAUUAAUGUCGAACCACAUUCAAGCGGUUCGUUUUGGGUCAAUGAAGUGCACUACUCAGAGGAAGGCGGCAAGAGCAGCGUCGAGUGGUGCCGGAAUCAUGGUCCAGGUUGGUACGGCGAAUACGCAGUCUUUAGAGCACGGCGUUCCCUUCACACGUUCGUUCACUAUAACAAGUUCACGUGUAACUGUGAGCACUAUGUUGAUGCGUGGGCAGGGACGUCUCUUUGCGUUAACCAGAGCUUCAGGUGUCCCAGCCGAGACUGUCGCAGGUAUUUGCCUGAUGGCACAGUCAAUUAUAGAUUAUUUUCGAUA